rfam:Schistosoma mansoni strain Puerto Rico chromosome 2, complete genome
AUCCAGCUAACGAGUUUCAAAUAGGACUAAACGCGUGUUCUGGAU